CCUACGGGAGGCAGCAGUAGGGAAUGUUCGGCAAUGGGGGGAACCCUGACCGAGCAACGCCGCGUGAACGAAGAAGUUAUUCGUAAUGUAAAGUUCUUUUAACAGGGAAGAAAGAGAAAGUGGACGGUACCUGAAGAAUAAGCUCCGGCCAACCACGUGCCAGCAGCCGCGGUAAUACGUAGGGAGCGAGCGUUAUCCGGAAUGAUUGGGCGUAAAGGGUGCGGAGAUGGCAUAGUAAGUCUUUUGUAAAAAUGCUGGGCUCAACCCAGUAGGGCAAAAGAUACUGCAAAGCUAGAGUAUGCCAGAGGCAAGUGGACCUACAUUUGUAGCGGUCAAAUGCGUACAUCUAUGU
rnacentral:rRNA from 1 species